AGACACUACCAGAGUUGUGGCUGGAAGUUACUUGGAGCCAGAGUCUCCGCCCAGGAAUGGGCGCUGGCCUCUACCGCAGGGAGGCGAGGGGUUGACCCUGGGCGUGGCCGAGACCUGCGGGCUCCAGUCUGGUGAAGGGGACCGGAGAGCGCCAGGCCUAAGCAGAAGCAGGUCGGACUGGAGCAGAACCAGGCGCUCCCAGGGAUUGAACUCGGGACCUUGUGCUUGUGAGGCAGGCACCAGAACCACUGAGCAGUUUUUUGUGGGCCCCAGUCCUGUCUAACCCAAGUGUAUAAAUCAUCUUCUCUACCCAGGAACCCAUAACAUGGGGAACCCAGUGGGAAGCUGGCAGUGUGCUGAGUGAAGUGACUCUGUGGAUAUCACAAUGAGAAGUCAGGGAGGUGUCACCCUGCUCAGGCUCCUGCUCGUCCUGGCUGCGCUGUGUUGCACAGGUUUCAGCCUGACUUGCUAUGAGUGUGCUUCCCACAAUCAAAACUGCACUGUUCCCAUAGUGUGUGCACCAGAUAUGGAUGCAUGCCUCUAUGCUAAAGCUGAGGGGCUCCACUCUUCACCUUCAUCUUGGGUGUCGUCUCCUGACUUCCCAUGCAGACUCUUAAGCCUCCAGCACAGACGCUUCAGCCUUCCGUUGCAGACCCUUUGGCCUCUUGGUAGGGACUCACUUGGGACACUACAGUGAGCGCCAGGCCUUCACCUGGAUCCUUUAGAUCCCCAGCGUGCAGAGGGCCGUUUUGCACUCUUCCACACCUGACUCUUGGAGUGGCCAUU